GAGGGUAUAGCUCAGUGGUAGAGUGCAUGCUUAGCAUGCACGAGGUCCUGGGUUCAACCCCUAGCACCUCCA
rnacentral:tRNA from 1 species